rnacentral:rRNA from 1 species
UGGCGGCAGGCUUAACACAUGCAAGUCGAGCGGAAACGAUGAUAGCUUGCUAUCAGGCGUCGAGCGGCGGACGGGUGAGUAAUACUUAGGAAUCUACCUAGUAGUGGGGGAUAGCUCGGGGAAACUCGAAUUAAUACCGCAUACGUCCUACGGGAGAAAGCAGGGGAUCAUUAGACCUUGCGCUAUUAGAUGAGCCUAAGUCGGAUUAGCUAGAUGGUGGGGUAAAGGCCUACCAUGGCGACGAUCUGUAGCUGGUCUGAGAGGAUGAUCAGCCACACCGGGACUGAGACACGGCCCGGACUCCUACGGGAGGCAGCAGUGGGGAAUAUUGGACAAUGGGGGCAACCCUGAUCCAGCCAUGCCGCGUGUGUGAAGAAGGCCUUUUGGUUGUAAAGCACUUUAAGCAGUGAAGAAGACUCUUCGGUUAAUACCCGGGGACGAUGACAUUAGCUGCAGAAUAAGCACCGGCUAACUCUGUGCCAGCAGCCGCGGUAAUACAGAGGGUGCAAGCGUUAAUCGGAAUUACUGGGCGUAAAGCGAGCGUAGGUGGCUUGAUAAGUCAGAUGUGAAAUCCCCGGGCUUAACCUGGGAACUGCAUCUGAAACUGUUAGGCUAGAGUAGGUGAGAGGGAAGUAGAAUUUCAGGUGUAGCGGUGAAAUGCGUAGAGAUCUGGAAGGAUACCGAUGGCGAAGGCAGCUUCCUGGCAUCAUACUGACACUGAGGCUCGAAAGCGUGGGUAGCAAACAGGAUUAGAUACCCUGGUAGUCCACGCCGUAAACGAUGUCUA